GAUGAACGCUAGCUACAGGCUUAACACAUGCAAGUCGAGGGGAAACGACAUCGAAAGCUUGCUUUUGAUGGGCGCCGACCGGCGCACGGGUGAGUAACGCGUAUCCAACCUGCCCAUCACUUGGGAAUAACCUUGCGAAAGUAAGACUAAUACCCAAUGACAUCCCACGAAGACAUCUGAAUGGGAUUAAAGAUUUAUCGGUGAUGGAUGGGGAUGCGUCUGAUUAGCUUGUUGGCGGGGUAACGGCCCACCAAGGCAACGAUCAGUAGGGGUUCUGAGAGGAAGGUCCCCCACAUUGGAACUGAGACACGGUCCAAACGCCUACGGGAGGCAGCAGUGAGGAAUAUUGAUCAAUGGGCGAGAGCCUGAACCAGCCAAGUAGCGUGCAGGAUGACGGCCCUAUGGGUUGUAAACUGCUUUUAUAAGGGAAUAAAGUGGGUCUCGUGAGACUUUUUGCAUGUACCUUAUGAAUAAGGACCGGCUAAUUCCGUG
rnacentral:rRNA from 1 species